UCCCGAAGAUGUACGCAUUCUUGAGGAAU
rnacentral:piRNA from 1 species